rnacentral:rRNA from 1 species
AUGCUCUGGGCCUGUAAGGAGGCGGUUAGUGGAGGGAAAUGCAAAGUCAACUGGCAAAAGGUCUGCCGCCCCAAGGAGCUCGGUGGUUUGGGGGUUCUGGACCUGGAGAGGUUCUCCCGGGCCCUGAAGCUUCGCUGGUUAUGGUAUGAGUGGAAGGCUCCUGAGAAGCCAUGGGUGGGCUCUGAAACACCCAACGACGCCUCCGACCUUGACCUCUUCAAUGCGGCUACUCGCGUCACCAUCGGAAACGGCGCCAAGGCCUCCUUCUAG